rnacentral:rRNA from 1 species
UGGGGAAUAUUGCACAAUGGGCGCAAGCCUGAUGCAGCAACGCCGCGUGAGGGACGACGGCCUUCGGGUUGUAAACCUCUUUUAGUAGGGAAGAAGCGAAAGUGACGGUACCUGCAGAAAAAGCACCGGCUAACUACGUGCCAGCAGCCGCGGUAAUACGUAGGGUGCGAGCGUUGUCCGGAAUUAUUGGGCGUAAAGAGCUCGUAGGCGGUCUGUCGCGUCUGCUGUGAAAACCCGAGGCUCAACCUCGGGCCUGCAGUGGGUACGGGCAGACUAGAGUGCGGUAGGGGAGAAUGGAAUUCCUGGUGUAGCGGUGGAAUGCGCAGAUAUCAGGAGGAACACCGAUGGCGAAGGCAGUUCUCUGGGCCGUAACUGACGUUGAGGAGCGAAAGCGUGGGGAGCGAACAGGAUUAGAUACCCUGGUAGUCCACGCCGUAAACGUUGGGCGCUAGAUGUGGGGACCAUUCCACGGUUUCCGUGUCGCAGCUAACGCAUUAAGCGCCCCGCCUGGGGAGUACGGCCGCAAGGCUAAAACUCAAAGGAAUUGACGGGGUCAUAGCUGUUUCCU